rnacentral:rRNA from 1 species
UACGUAGGGUGCAAGCGUUAAUCGGAAUUACUGGGCGUAAAGCGUGCGCAGGCGGUGAUGUAAGACAGAUGUGAAAUCCCCGGGCUCAACCUGGGAACUGCAUUUGUGACUGCAUCGCUGGAGUACGGCAGAGGGGGAUGGAAUUCCACGUGUAGCAGUGAAAUGCGUAGAGAUGUGGAGGAACACCGAUGGCGAAGGCAGCCUCCUGGGCCAGCACUGACGCUCAUGCACGAAAGCGUGGGGAGCAAACAGG